AUCCCAAUGAGGAAGAAAGCCCAUGAUAGGAAGUGCCGUAUGACACUCCAAACAGCAGCGGCGUCGCCCAUAACCCAACCUUCCCAUCCACCAUUGCGUCCCUCUGACUCAGUGUCUGAGGUGCUCGUUCAUUGGUCGGGAUAACGCGGUUAUGGGGCGCCGUUGUGUGUGAUUUGAAACGGGACUCUGAGGGUU
rfam:Vitis vinifera, whole genome shotgun sequence of line PN40024, unoriented chromosome 12, chr12